GGUGCCCGUACCGCAAACCGACACAGGUAGGUAGGAAGAAGAUUCUAAGGCCAACGGGAGAAGGGUUGUUAAGGAACUCGGCAAAUUGACCCCGUAACUUCGGGAGAAGGGGUGCUCCAGAGAUGGAGCCGCAGAGAAUCGGCCCAAGCAACUGUUUACCAAAAACACAGGUUUGUGCUAAAUCGAAAGAUGACGUAUACGAGCUGACGCCUGCCCGGUGCUGGAAGGUUAAGAGGAGAUGUGCAAGCAUUGAAUCGAAGCCCCAGUGAACGGCGGCCGUAACUAUAACGGUCCUAAGGUAGCGAAAUUCCUUGUCAGGUAAGUUCUGACCCGCAUGAAAGGCGUAAUGAUUUGGGCACUGUCUCAACAGCCCGCCCGGCGAAAUUGUAGUACCGGUGAAGAUGCCGGUUACCCGCGACAAGACGGAAAGACCCCAUGGAGCUUUACUGUAGCCUAAUAUUGGGUUUCGAUGUUGCAUGCACAGGAUAGAUGGGACACAGGGAAACAAGUGCUUUGGCAUUUGUGGAGUGGCCGUUGGGAUACCAUCCUUGCGAUAUUGGAAUUCUAACCUGCGCCUUUGAAUCAAGGCGGGGGACAUUGUUAGGUGGGCAGUUUGACUGGGGCGGUCGCCUCCUAAAGAGUAACGGAGGCGUUCAAAGGUUCGCUCAGCUUGAACGGAAAUCAAGCAAAAGAGUGCAAACGCAGAAGCGAGCCUAACUGCGAGACUGACGGGUCGAGCAGUAACGAAAGUUGGAGUUAGUGAUCCGGUGGUAUGUGAGUGGAAAUGCCAUCGCUCAACGGAUAAAAGUUACCCUGGGGAUAACAGGCUGAUCUCCCCCAAGAGUCCACAUCGACGGGGAGGUUUGGCACCUCGAUGUCGGCUCAUCGCAUCCUGGGGCUGUAUUCGGUCCCAAGGGUUUGGCUGUUCGCCAAUUAAAGCGGUACGCGAGCUGGGUUCAGAACGUCGUGAGACAGUUCGGUCCCUAUCUGUCGUGGGCGCAGGAUAUUUGAUGGGAGCUGUUCCUAGUACGAGAGGACCGGAGCGGACGUACCUCUGGCGCACCAGUUGUUCUGCCAAGGGCAUAGCUGGGCAACUAUGUACGGAUCGGAUAAACGCUGAAAGCAUCUAAGCGUGAAGCCGACCCAAAGAUAAGAUAUCCCAUUGUUUCAAACAAGUAAGACCCCUUGAAGACUACAAGGUUGAUAGGCACGAUGUGUAAGUGGAGCGAUCCAUUCAGCAAGCGUGUACUAAUAGGUCGAGGGCUUGACCAC
rnacentral:rRNA from 1 species